AUUGAACGCUGGCGGCAGGCCUAACACAUGCAAGUCGAACGGUAACAGGAAGCAGCUUGCUGCUUCGCUGACGAGUGGCGGACGGGUGAGUAAUGUCUGGGAAACUGCCUGAUGGAGGGGGAUAACUACUGGAAACGGUAGCUAAUACCGCAUAACGUCGCAAGACCAAAGAGGGGGACCUUAGGGCCUCUUGCCAUCGGAUGUGCCCAGAUGGGAUUAGCUAGUAGGUGGGGUAACGGCUCACCUAGGCGACGAUCCCUAGCUGGUCUGAGAGGAUGACCAGCCACACUGGAACUGAGACACGGUCCAGACUCCUACGGGAGGCAGCAGUGGGGAAUAUUGCACAAUGGGCGCAAGCCUGAU
rnacentral:rRNA from 1 species